CGCAGGGUGGGGGGUGGAAAGGGUAUGUACAGGUUGUGGAUGGGCACACCGGCCCAAUCAGCUUGUUGGUGGGGUAAUGGCCUACCAAGGCGACGACGGGUAGCCGGCCUGAGAGGGUGACCGGCCACACUGGGACUGAGACACGGCCCAGACUCCUACGGGAGGCAGCAGUGGGGAAUUUGCAAAUGGGCGCAAGCCUGAUGCAACGAC
rnacentral:rRNA from 1 species